AACUAAUGAUUAAUAGGGACAGCCGGGGGCAUUAGUACUCAGACGACAGAGGUGAAAUUCUUGGACCGUCUGAUGACUAACUACUGCGAAAGCAUUUGCCAAGAGUGUUUUCAUUAAUCAAGAACGAAAGUUAGAGGCUCGAAGGCGAUCAGAUACCGCCCUAGUUCUAACCAUAAACGAUGCCAGCUAGCGAUCCGCAGGUGCUAUCUUUGUAGGCCCUGCGGGAAGCUUCCGGGAAACCAAAGCUUUCGGGUUCCGGGGGAAGUAUGGUUGCAAAGCUGAAACUUAAAGGAAUUGACGGAAGGGCACCACCAGGAGUGGAGCCUGCGGCUUAAUUUGACUCAACACGGGAAAUCUCACCAGGCCCGGACACGAUUAGGAUUGACAGAUUGAGAGCUCUUUCUCGAUUUCGUGGGUGGUGGUGCAUGGCCGUUCUUAGUUGGUGGAGUGAUUUGUCUGGUUAAUUCCGAUAACGAACGAGACUCUGUCCUGCUAAAUAGUUUCAACGCCUGUUUGCGUUGAAAAAUCUUCUUAGAGGGACUGGCAGCUUCCAGCUGCACGAGAUUGAGCAAUAACAGGUCUGUGAUGCCCUUAGAUGUUCUGGGCUGCACACGCGCUACACUGAAGAAAUCAGCAUGUUUUCCCUGACCGAGAGGUCCGGGUAACCUUUUGAAUCUUCUUCGUGGUAGGGAUCGGAGCUUGCAAUUAUUCUCCGUGAACCAGGAAUUCCCAGUAAGCGUAAGUCAUAAGCUUGCGUUGAUUACGUCCCUGCCCUUUGUACACACCGCCCGUCGCUACUACCGAUUGAACGUUUUAGUGAGGUAUUUGGACCGGCUUUAGGUUGAUUCACGUCGACCUGCAGCUGGAAAGAUCCC
rnacentral:rRNA from 1 species